UACGUAGGGGGCAAGCGUUGUUCGGAAUUACUGGGCGUAAAGGGCGCGUAGGCGGCACGGCAAGUCAGGAGUGAAAGCCCUGGGCUCAACCCGGGAACUGCUUUUGAAACUGCCGAGCUAGAGUGCGGAAGGGGCAACUGGAAUUCCCAGUGUAGCGGUGAAAUGCGUAGAUAUCAGGGGGUACACCGGUGGCGAAGGCGGGAUCCUGGGCCAGUACUGACGCUGAGGAGCGAAAGCGUGGGGAGCAAACAGG
rnacentral:rRNA from 1 species